UGAUACGUAGGGUGCGAGCGUUGUCCGGAAUUAUUGGGCGUAAAGAGCUUGUAGGCGGUUGGUUGCGUCGUAAGUGAAAACUCAGGGCUUAACCCUGGGCCUGCUUGCGAUACGGGCUGACUUGAGGAAGGUAGGGGAGAAUGGAAUUCCCGGUGGAGCGGUGGAAUGCGCAGAUAUCGGGAGGAACACCAGUGGCGAAGGCGGUUCUCUGGACCUUUCCUGACGCUGAGAAGCGAAAGCGUGGGGAGCAAACAGG
rnacentral:rRNA from 1 species